rnacentral:lncRNA from 1 species
AGGAAGGAAGGAAGGAAGAUCUCAGAACUUGUGUGAACAAUGACACAAUCUUCUUAUUUUCUGAAGGCAAUAAACCUAACUUCAAGAUGUCAGAGGAAGAUGAUUCUUUUCUGAAUGUUAAAAGAUCUCUGGAAAAGAGAAUGGUGAAACACAGCACCCUUCUGGACUCAAUGCUUUCAAGAACAACUCCAUCUUUUACAGAUCUGACAAAUCAGUCAAUCAAGGACCAAGAUGCCACAAAGAGAAUUUAUGGCUCUCCAAUGCCAAAAUCAAAUCUAAUUAGAUCAUUGUCUCAAGUAUCAUUAGUGUGUGUUGAUGCACACAUUCCUCCUAUGUCCCCAAAAAAGCUUUCAACAGCAUUUGAUUUGCAAGAACUAAAUAAAGAGAAAAGCCAAAGCUCUCGGCUUGUAUUUUCUAGAAGGAGGCUUUCCACUGUUUUGGCCUCUGAUGAAUCAAAUCAAGAGCCAGCUCACAAGAUUGUCCCAAACACAGAAACUCAAGCUACCACCAGAGCAUUUGUGGAUGCUGCAGUAACUCCUAAGAGUGGACCCUCAUGGCUUGUUUCUGGAAUACCAGGGAUAAAAGAUCCUCUGGUAACAAAAUCCAGAAAGAAGAAAAUUGAUAAAACUCUUCAGAAAAAGAAAGAAAGAGAGUGGCUGCUUCGUCAACUUAAAAACAUUGAGGAGGCAACUAAACAUGAACUGACAAUUGAAGAAGCUUGAUUGGGUACCUGUGGGAUAAGUGCUGUCACAUCCAUCAUGUGGAAAUGGCGAGUUCCAAUAAAUCACACUCUUCGUUAUAGUGCCUGUUAGACUUCCUCUUUCCUUCCAAAAUGAUCUUUUGCUGUUGCUUAUUUGUUUUUUCAUUCUUUCUUCUUAAAUCCAGGAGUAGCCAAGUAUAAAUUAUGAUGAGAGUUAAGAAGAGACCCUCUCUACUAAGGAGAGUCAAUGUUAAUUUAUAAUAGCUGAAAGACAUAGAACAAAGAAGGGAGGAAGAACUUAAUGUUUAAGAAUCAUUCUUCAUCCUGCCAUUUAAGUAGCAUUAAAUGUAGCAUUUAAGUCUUAUAGGGUUGCUGAUCUUUCUUAACAAGAAGUCACUAGACAAAGUCCUAGUGGCCACAGAGUGUCAUCCUGGUUAGCUAAAGGAGAAUCUCUUUCAAAGCUGAUGCAAUCUGAAA